rnacentral:rRNA from 1 species
CGGCGAGCGAAACGGGAAGAGCCCAAACCAACAAGCUUGCUUGUUGGGGUUGUAGGACACUCUAUACGGAGUUACAAAGGACGACAUUAGACGAAUCAUCUGGAAAGAUGAAUCAAAGAAGGUAAUAAUCCUGUAGUCGAAAAUGUUGUCUCUCUUGAGUGGAUCCUGAGUACGACGGAGCACGUGAAAUUCCGUCGGAAUCUGGGAGGACCAUCUCCUAAGGCUAAAUACUCUCUAGUGACCGAUAGUGAACCAGUACCGUGAGGGAAAGGUGAAAAGCACCCCGGAAGGGGAGUGAAAUAGAACCUGAAACCGUGUGCUUACAAGUAGUCAGAGCCCGUUAAUGGGUGAUGGCGUGCCUUUUGUAGAAUGAACCGGCGAGUUACGAUUUGAUGCAAGGUUAAGCAGUAAAUGUGGAGCCGUAGCGAAAGCGAGUCUGAAUAGGGCGUUUAGUAUUUGGUCGUAGACCCGAAACCAGGUGAUCUACCCUUGGUCAGGUUGAAGUUCAGGUAACACUGAAUGGAGGACCGAACCGACUUACGUUGAAAAGUGAGCGGAUGAACUGAGGGUAGCGGAGAAAUUCCAAUCGAACCUGGAGAUAGCUGGUUCUCUCCGAAAUAGCUUUAGGGCUAGCCUCAAGUGAUGAUUAUUGGAGGUAGAGCACUGUUUGGACGAGGGGCCCCUCUCGGGUUACCGAAUUCAGACAAACUCCGAAUGCCAAUUAAUUUAACUUGGGAGUCAGAACAUGGGUGAUAAGGUCCGUGUUCGAAAGGGAAACAGCCCAGACCACCAGCUAAGGUCCCAAAAUAUAUGUUAAGUGGAAAAGGAUGUGGCGUUGCCCAGACAACUAGGAUGUUGGCUUAGAAGCAGCCAUCAUUUAAAGAGUGCGUAAUAGCUCACUAGUCGAGUGACACUGCGCCGAAAAUGUACCGGGGCUAAACAUAUUACCGAAGCUGUGGAUUGUCCUUUGGACAAUGGUAGGAGAGCGUUCUAAGGGCGUUGAAGCAUGAUCGUAAGGACAUGUGGAGCGCUUAGAAGUGAGAAUGCCGGUGUGAGUAGCGAAAGACGGGUGAGAAUCCCGUCCACCGAUUGACUAAGGUUUCCAGAGGAAGGCUCGUCCGCUCUGGGUUAGUCGGGUCCUAAGCUGAGGCCGACAGGCGUAGGCGAUGGAUAACAGGUUGAUAUUCCUGUACCACCUAUAAUCGUUUUA